rnacentral:SRP_RNA from 1 species
GCUGGGCAUGGUGGUGCAUGCCUGUGGUCCCAGCUACUCGGAGGCCUGAGGUAGGAGGCUCACUUGAGCCCAGGAGGUCAAGGCUGCAGUGAGCCGAGAUCGUGCCACUGCACUCCAGCCUGGGCAACAGAGCAAGACCCUAUCUCUA